UGACAAUAUAAUUAAUAGAAUAAUUCCUAAUUAUUCAUCAACAAUAGUAUUGCACAGAAACUGUAAAUUCUAUAAUGACAAGAACAAUGAUACAUAAAUCAUACAAGUACAAUGGUUAAUGCACUGCACCUGCAGUAAAGUAAGAAUGUAAAUGAACACAAGAAAGCCAAAAGUGAAAAUGGAAAAGGUUCACAAAAGAAAAUGGUACCUGUAAAUGAUUGAAAUGGACAAUUUUGAAUCUUUCCACAUUUAUUAUUCCUUAAUAUAUAACUUGAAUGCAUGGUUUCCCCAACUAAAUUGUUCCUCUUCUAUUUUCUUUGCUGAUUCUACAAUUGAAUCACCAAGGGUUGAAAUGCCCCGAUCAAGCGGACUUAGAAUCAAUUAGAUGGAUUGAAGAGUUGAAAUUUCCCCAGAACCACUAGGGAUCUCAUCCAGUUCUCUGCAAGCCCUAAUCGAAAUAACUAGCCGCUCGAGACUCGGGAAGUGGAUGCUCUCAACUCUCUAGUGCUUCAGAUGAACAUCGUGUAACAGCAGAAAUUUCAAUUUGAGAAAUUCUCCUUACCAAUUUCUAGUUCCCACUCUAGUUCAUUGAAGGCACAGCGUUUCAAUUUCAGCACUUCCAGUUUGGGCAACUUACCAAGAAUCUUCAAUUCAUCGGGAUGAAGUUUGAGAUAAUCUUUGGGAUGAAAUUCUAUGCCGUCUAACAUCAACUUUUUGAGAGACGUCGAAAAAGUGAUACGCAAGAUUAUUGAUACAGAAUUUCUCCCUACUGGCCACCACAAUAAAAUCAUAAUGGAUACCCAAUUUCCGUAGAUUUGGGAUUCUUUAGAGGACCUCCUCCGUCAACCUAAAAGUAUAUAUCCUUGAGACGGUUUGUAGAUUUUCUAGAACAACAAUAGAAUUUUCUUCCCCCUGAAUUUCUGAAAUAGGAGGAUCAAGAAGAUAUACAUCACAUUUCAACUUGACAUGUCUUAAUUUUGUCAUCUUCCAUAUUUUUGCCUUUAGGUUUGCAAUAUAAUCUUUCCUUAUACAACACUAUAUUUUUGCCAUUUGAUUGAAUCCAAAACUGUUUGGUUUGCAUUUGGAUUGUGUUUCUUCAGUUUAAUUUGAUAGUUCUUAGAGAAAAAUGGAGGGUGGUGCAGCUACUAUUUCAACAGAGAAGGCAUCAGAAUCUGGUAAGAAUACGAUGCGGUAUAGCAAUCACUAAAUUUUUCAUAUUACAAUAAGAUGGAUUUUAGGAAUACAUAUAUGAUACUUUUUAAUUAAUUGCAACUGACAAAGCAUAAUCUUUAGUUAUGUCUCACCGCCUUAGUAAAGAGGCGAAUGAUAGCAAAGUAGCAGAGCACGAUAAUAAUAAUCAUUGAUUCAACAUUGUAAAAAAACUCCUAAGUGAUGAGGGAUUGUGUAAGGGAAAUGGGUAAUUGUUAUACCCCAAGGUGAGGUUGAAAAAGAAACUCGAAAGCAAGAACACGAUGAAUUUAUGUAAUUUUAUCGAUUAAUGAAUUUUGUCCUUCAUUCCAUCAACCAUAUUCAUGGGUGUCAAGUUCAUAAUUUAUGACAGGUUGCACCUUGGAAUUGAGGCAGGGUAUGAUAGAUUUGCCCUGUGUCAUGAAUGGUGUGGACAAUUUGGUUCAUCAUAAGCUUGGUAUAUCUAGUACCACAUCAAAAUAGGUGCGAAUCAGGGGGGGCUGGACCAGGCUGCCAGCUCCAACCCUAGCCCAGAUCCUUUUUGUCACUAUUUAUUUCAUUUAGUCUGUGUCCAAAUUUAAGUUCAAUCAUUAUCCAAACAAAUUUUUAACUUGUACUAUAUCUGUGCUCCAUAGUUCAAUCAUCAAAAUAUUAUUUGAAAUAAUCAAUAGUUUAGUCAUAAAAUUAUUAUCUGAAAUACUCCACAAUUGUAAGCAAAAAUUGAGUAUUGUGAUACUGUAAUCAAUAAAGUAAUUCCUAAUUGUCUAUAUCAACAAUAGUACUGCACACAAAAUGUAAAUCUCUACAACGACAAGAACAAUGAUACAUGAAUAAUGAUUUUUCCAAUUAAUAAAUUCAUGUGAAAACCACAAGUAAAGAGAGAGGAAAGCAGAAGAAAGAACAUAGACAAACAAGGACGUUAAAUGAAAUCAUGGAUGUACACUACAAACUUUAGAGAAACUUAAUUGCACGCUUAAUGCACAGCAUCUGCAUUGAAGUUCGUUUAAACUGAGCUCUCAUAUCUC
rnacentral:lncRNA from 1 species